CUUCAGCCAAGUGUGAUUUAGUAGAGGGAAAAAUUAAAAGAUCUGGGUGGGAAACAAAUUAUGAACCCUCUCUGACUGUAUGUGUUCAUCUGUUUGGGACCGAUCCAUACCUCCAGAGAUUGUGUUAGGAUGAAAUAGGUUUGUGAAAUUGCUCUUUAUACAGAAAAGCACUAUUCAAAUAUUGGGUAUCAUCCCUAUUUCAAAAUCUGGAUUGCUGAAGUUCAAUUUAAUAAGAUGGGUUUUAUUUUAUUUUUUUUCAUGCAUGGAAAGAACUUGUUUACAAGGGUGAAGAGCUCCCUGUGAGUAUGGAAGCUUAUCAGGAACUCCUCUACCAUUUCCAGGAGUCCAGAGGGCUACCCUGUUUGCAAAGUGUUAUCAAGGAGCGGGGUGUUCAGAAAAACAAACUCGCCUGUCCUGGGGUGGCCAGAUUAAGGUCUGUCUCCUCCAAAAACCUCCUGGGAUAACUUCAUCUCAGUUCUCUCUCUGCCUCAGAAUGACUAGAGCCUGCCACUAGAUUCAAUUCAACAAUAACUUUGUGGGGAAAAGGUCACUUUGCUGGGUGCCGGGGUAGGGGGUGAGGGUGGUGAGAUCUGAGAUGGAGAGAGGGCUCAAGGGCAGAGCCUGCAGUCCACCGGCCUGGUCCUCAGGAAUUCACGGUCUGCAGAUGGACACUUGUUGGACAUUCACACCCUAUCAGGAGUUGGGAGAUGAGGCACAAAGAAGUCAAUUUAACAAUUAUCAGCUCUGGUCAAAUAUUGACGAAGAGCUUCAUUAGGUGACUACAAUGAAAAUACUAUUACCUGAGAUUUAUUUAUUUAUUGCCUAAUUUAACUCAGCUAAUCAAGAAUCAAUGAUAUUCCUGCAGUAGAGAACACAGAGGCAGCACAGCAAUGAUGCGCUGCAGAUAGAAGUACCUCUUCUCAAUUCCUCCCAGACUGGAUGAUGCAUCAGAAAACAGCUUUACAGCAGGCCUAUUCUGCCAACUAGGAUGGAGACUGGAAGGCAUGCCUUUGGAGAGUUUAAAUUUAUGUUUCAACAACCCCAUGUGAAAUAAAGGUCUGGUUGAUUAAUCAGUUUCUUGAGUCAAUGAAGAGAGCCAGUCAAAAGUAUUCUAACUCUGGAAGGGAUUUCUAACCUGAAUAAUCUACCUUAACAGCCCAAUACAUCAAUUAACUGUAUAGUGAUCAUUAUCAAAUUACCAAUUUCACUUAGCUUAUAUGAUUUUAGUGCUAUGUAGACACAAAUUCGAAUUUUGCAUCGAUGUAGGCUCCCUUUCUUCUGUACUUUCUUUAUGACCUGACUUUGUAUGCUUAUAAUAUAAUUUUUAUUAUAAAUAAAUAUCUAUUCUAAAAAAAGUAAAUUUCUUUUUUUAUUAAAUCUCUUUACUUACAAUUCAGGCUAUGUUGGAGGAGGAAAUGGCAACCCACUCCAGUAUUCUUGCCUGAAGAAUCCCAUGGACAGAGGAGCCUGGUGGACACAGUACAUAGAGUCACAAAGAGUCGGACACGACUGAGCUGCAAGCAGCAGGCUAUGUUAGGAUGGUUGACUUUCUUCAUUGCUUGGUGCUUACUUCCC
ensembl:lncRNA